rnacentral:rRNA from 1 species
GCGAGCGGAUCCCCUUCGGGGGUGAUGCUCGUGGAACGAGCGGCGGACGGGUGAGUAACACGUGGGCAACCUGCCUGUAAGACCGGAAUAACCCCGGGAAACCGGGGCUAAUGCCGGGUAAUACUCUUCUCUGCAUGGAGAAGAGUUGAAAGAUGGCUUCUAGCUAUCACUUACAGAUGGGCCCGCGGCGCAUUAGCUAGUUGGUGAGGUAACGGCUCACCAAGGCGACGAUGCGUAGCCGACCUGAGAGGGUGAUCGGCCACACUGGGACUGAGACACGGCCCAGACUCCUACGGGAGGCAGCAGUAGGGAAUCUUCCGCAAUGGACGAAAGUCUGACGGAGCAACGCCGCGUGAACGAUGAAGGUCUUCGGAUCGUAAAGUUCUGUUGUUAGGGAAGAACAAGUACCGUGCGAAUAGAGCGGUACCUUGACGGUACCUAACGAGGAAGCCCCGGCUAACUACGUGCCAGCAGCCGCGGUAAUACGUAGGGGGCAAGCGUUGUCCGGAAUUAUUGGGCGUAAAGCGCGCGCAGGCGGUUUCUUAAGUCUGAUGUGAAAGCCCACGGCUCAACCGUGGAGGGUCAUUGGAAACUGGGGAACUUGAGGACAGAAGAGGAGAGUGGAAUUCCACGUGUAGCGGUGAAAUGCGUAGAUAUGUGGAGGAACACCAGUGGCGAA